GGUGAGGUAAAAGCUCACCAAGGCGACGAUCUGUAGCGGGUCUGAGAGGAUGAUCCGCCACACUGGAACUGAGACACGGUCCAGACUCCUACGGGAGGCAGCAGUGGGGAAUUUUGGACAAUGGGGGCAACCCUGAUCCAGCCAUGCCGCGUGAGUGAAGAAGGCCUUCGGGUUGUAAAGCUCUUUCAGCCGGGAAGAAAACGCAUGGGUUAAUACCCUGUGUGGAUGACGGUACCGGAAUAAGAAGCACCGGCUAACUACGUGCCAGCAGCCGCGGUAAUACGUAGGGUGCGAGCGUUAAUCGUAUUACUGGGCGUAAAGCGUGCGCAGGCGGUUUUGUAAGACAGGCGUGAAAUCCCCGGGCUUAACCUGGGAACUGCGUUUGUGACUGCAAGGCUAGAGUACGGCAGAGGGGGGUGGAAUUCCACGUGUAGCAGUGAAAUGCGUAGAGAUGUGGAGGAACACCAAUGGCGAAGGCAGCCCCCUGGGUCGAUACUGACGCUCAUGCACGAAAGCGUGGGUAGCAAACAGGAUUAGAUACCCUGGUAGUCCACGCCCUAAACGAUGUCAACUAGGUGUUGGGAGGGUAAAACCUUUUAGUACCGGAGCUAACGCGUGAAGUUGACCGCCUGGGGAGUACGGCCGCAAGGUUAAAACUCAAAGGAAUUGACGGGGACCCGCACAAGCGGUGGAUGAUGUGGAUUAAUUCGAUGCAACGCGAAAAACCUUACCUACCCUUGACAUGCCAAGAACUUUCCAGAGAUGGAUUGGUGCCCGAAAGGGAACUUGGACACAGGUGCUGCAUGGCUGUCGUCAGCUCGUGUCGUGAGAUGUUGGGUUAAGUCCCGCAACGAGCGCAACCCUUGUCGUUAAUUGCCAUCAUUUAGUUGGGCACUUUAACGAGACUGCCGGUGACAAACCGGAGGAAGGUGGGGAUGACGUCAAGUCCUCAUGGCCCUUAUGGGUAGGGCUUCACACGUCAUACAAUGGUCGGUACAAAGGGUCGCCAAGCCGCGAGGUGGAGCCAAUCCUAGAAAGCCGAUCGUAGUCCGGAUCGCAGUCUGCAACUCGACUGCGUGAAGUCGGAAUCGCUAGUAAUCGUGGAUCAGAAUGUCACGGUGAAUACGUUCCCGGGUCUUGUACACACCGCCCGUCACACCAUGGGAGCGGGUUCCGCCAGAAGUAGGUAGCCUAACCGCAAGGAGGGCGCUUACCACGGCGGGGUUCGUGACUGGGGUGAAGUCGUAACAAGGUA
rnacentral:rRNA from 1 species